ensembl:rRNA 5S_rRNA 5S ribosomal RNA
GCUUACGGUCACACUACCCUGAGAACGCCCGAUCUCGUCUGAUCUCGGAAGCUAAGCAGGGUUUGGCCUGGUUAGUACUUGGAUGGGAGACCACCUGGGAAUAGGGAGACCACCUGGGAAUACCAGGUGCUGUAAGCU